rnacentral:rRNA from 1 species
CCCAGACUCCUACGGGAGGCAGCAGUGGGGAAUAUUGCACAAUGGGGGAAACCCUGAUGCAGCGACGCCGCGUGAAGGAUGAAGUAUUUCGGUAUGUAAACUUCUAUCAGCAGGGAAGAAAAUGACGGUACCUGACUAAGAAGCCCCGGCUAACUACGUGCCAGCAGCCGCGGUAAUACGUAGGGGGCAAGCGUUAUCCGGAUUUACUGGGUGUAAAGGGAGCGUAGACGGCAUGGCAAGUCUGAUGUGAAAACCCGGGGCUCAACCCCGGGACUGCAUUGGAAACUGUUAAGCUGGAGUACUGGAGAGGCACGCGGAAUUCCUAGUGUAGCGGUGAAAUGCGUAGAUAUUAGGAGGAACACCAGUGGCGAAGGCGGCUUGCUGGACAGAGACUGACGUUGAGGCUCGAAGGCGUGGGGAGCAAACAGGAUUAGAUACCCCAGUAGUA